rfam:Brachypodium distachyon strain Bd21 chromosome 2, whole genome shotgun sequence.
AAGGUACUUCCUCCGUUUCAUAAUUCUUGUCUCAAAUUUGUCCAGAUAUGGAUGUAUCUAUUCCGAAAAACCGUCUAGAUACAUGUAAUAUUUGGACAAAAAUUAUGAAACGGAGGAAAUACUUU